GAGUUCGGCUGCCGAACUUAGUAUUGAGUAUGCCUAUCAGAACUUAGUUUUGCUAUUGCCCAGUUGAACUCAAAGUUGAGGGCUGCCACCGAAGUGCUGUUUUGAACCAAAACUACUUAAUUUUGAGUUUAAAAAAAGGAGCGUGAGUGCAAACAAAAUAAAAAUAACACUUUCUACGACAAUACGACGGGUCGAAUCCUUCAGGCAUCUGGAUGAAAAACAUCAUUUUCGGCAAUCUAGUCUGCUGUCUGGAUGUCUUCACCGAAAUCGAACGAUUAUCUUGAUCGCUUUCAGCCAAAAAACAAUCAUUAUCAGCUGCAAGCCUCUCCGGCACAGUCUAGUGAAGCCUCCCUGAAAGAGGCUCGAACUACCUUCAUUCAACAUCGCUCGCAGGCUUCCGAACAGGCACAGGACAAGAAAUGCAGACUGGGUUGCAACAUACAACACGGUGGCGAAGUGGUGCUAGAAUUUAUCGAUUACAAGGCCCACUAGCGAGAGGAUUGUGUUCGUUAGGUUCCAUCCGAAUGAUGGGGAAAAGCUGUACCAGUAAAGGACGAAUCACUCGAUCUACUCCCGGGCGAAGCGGACAGUAUUUUCAGCUACGAAAGCCUGCCGAAGAAGCACUAGUAAAAGUACAUGUACGCAGCUCGAUUUGUCCAGAUAGUCCGGGUGAUGACCCCGAACGACUACAGCGAUCGGGCCAAGUUCCAGCUGAUGGAAGCACACAAAAAUUCGAAGCAUGUUUUCGUAGUGGUAAAAAUGGACAAAAAUUGUAAUAUCCAAUCAUGAAAGAACGAACAGAUAGCAACGGAUCUACAGUGAAAUCUCCGGAAUGAACUCUGCUUGCGAACGGCCGUACCAGUGACGUGCUGUAUUCAAAAUAAUCAUGACAGCGCCAAUUUUCUCGACAUUCAGUUCUCUUUUAGUGGCUCCGGAGGAUCAGCCUUUGAAGUUGAACCGGUUCUUGAUAUUGUAUUCGUUAUUUUAUAUUCGCCUUGAUAAUUGAUUCUGACCAUUACACCUAUGCGUGUAGACCAGGCCGACAUUUCAUUUACUAAACUAAAAAUUGUAAAAAUGAACAUAGAUACAAAUUUAAAA